CCCGGACCACUGGUCCGGAGCAAGGGUGAAACGGCGAGGUAAGAGCUCGCCAGGCCCGCCCGUGAGGGCGGGCGCUCGGUAAACCCCACCCGGAGCAAGACCGCGUAGGAGGGAGGCCUGGCCUUUUGGCCUGGCGCGGAUGGCCCGUCCGUUCCCUCGGGUCGGUCGCUCGAUCCCCCGGGUAACCGGGGGGCCAGACGAAUGGUUGCUGCUCCCGCGAUCUGGGCGGGAGAACAGAAUCCGGCUUACAGACCUCCUCCGGCG
rnacentral:RNase_P_RNA from 1 species